rnacentral:rRNA from 1 species
AGUGAACGCUGGCGGUGGGCCUAACACAUGCAAGUCGAACGGCAGCACAGUAAGAGCUUGCUCUUACGGGUGGCGAGUGGCGGACGGGUGAGGAAUACAUCGGAAUCUACUUUUUCGUGGGGGAUAACGUAGGGAAACUUACGCUAAUACCGCAUACGACCUACGGGUGAAAGCAGGGGGUCUUCGGACCUUGCGCGAUUGAAUGAGCCGAUGUCGGAUUAGCUAGUUGGCGGGGUAAAGGCCCACCAAGGCGACGAUCCGUAGCUGGUCUGAGAGGAUGAUCAGCCACACUGGAACUGAGACACGGUCCAGACUCCUACGGGAGGCAGCAGUGGGGAAUAUUGGACAAUGGGCGCAAGCCUGAUCCAGCCAUACCGCGUGGGUGAAGAAGGCCUUCGGGUUGUAAAGCCCUUUUGUUGGGAAAGAAAAGCAGCAGGUUAAUACCCCGCUGUUCUGACGGUACCCAAAGAAUAAGCACCGGCUAACUUCGUG